rnacentral:lncRNA from 1 species
GACGAACCUACCCUGUACAUAUAGAUAACAGACUGUGUUGCAUACAAGAUAUACUACCCUCAAAUCGUCUCUUUUGUUCAUCCUGUUCACGUGAAGAUGAUCGAGUCUUGGAGGCUAGGGUUGUCCUUGCUGCUCCCGGCCUCUCACGGCACCCUUCAGCAAUGGCAGAUAUAGGAGGCUACACGAGAAAAGGCCGUGGUAGCCUGCCACAGAUGGCUGUGAUGGAGGAGGGCAUCGUCAUGGUGAGGGUUAUACACACGUUGCAUCUAUCCAUGGGUAGUUCAAGGUGGUCCAAGUGGUCGGGCAUGCAUCUGUCCAUGGCCAGUUCAAGGUGUUCCAAAGGGGCCGGAGUCCAUGCAGCUCUACGACUGCGUCCUCAUUGACUGUUAAUUGCGGCGCCCUCCACAUCUUCACGAUCGCCACCAGCGCGCUGUCAGUGGAUUGGAGUAGUCCCC